CUUACGCCACCCGCCAUGAUUCUGAGACCUCCCCAGCGAUGUGGAACUUGCCGAAUAAUAUUUCAUUUUCUGGAUAUACCUCACUUUAUCUACUUGCUACAGAAGGGCAUCCUGGUUAAAGUUUUGGCAAUUAGGAAUAAAGCUGCUAUAAGCAUCCAGUCUUACUAGGACCUUCUAUAGCAUAAGACAAAGAAGAAUACAUGUUUAAAAGAAAUGCAACACAUGGGUGCUGCCUGCAAAUCAGAAAGAAGAUAAAACCAAUUCACAAAGGAGCACCAGUGCCUUAGAAGGCUGUUUGCUAGAAAGCUCUUCAAUAACUAGACUUUUCUAUAUUGAACCUGUAGACAAUGAGAUAAGACAGCAGAAUUUUGAUGUGCCAAGGAGGUACAACAAUCUCACUGUAGGCUGUUAUGAUAAUGUGUACUUACCUCUUCU
rnacentral:lncRNA from 1 species